AAGUUGGUCUUCGGAGAUGAAGGCAGUCACUGAUCCCUGACGAGCCUCCAAAUGAAAGACCCCCAGAGCAGGGAGACCCUCACUCAAGUCUCAGGAUGACAAGACCCCCCAAUAACUCACAAGAGA
rnacentral:pre_miRNA from 14 species